rnacentral:misc_RNA from 1 species
UUUCCGUAGGUGAACCUGCGGAAGGAUCAUUAUCAUGUAAUUCAGUCCCCUUGGCUGUGUUAUAUAUACACCCACUCUGUGUACCUUCUCCUGUUGCUUCCGCUGGGUGUGUAAUUCGCCCGGCGGAAGGGUAAAAAUAACCUCUGAGUAUUGAUGAAAUCUCUGUCUGAACCGAAUAGAAAGAGAAAUGUUAAAACUUUCAGCAACGGAUCUCUUGGUUCUC